UCCUCACACUUUUUGUUCGCUCAUGUUCUUCUCUCCUCUCCUCACGAUCUUCUACAUGUGCUUGAGAAGUUUGGUGCCUCUCUAAUACCGGAACCAUCCAAUAGGAGAGAGAAAGACAAACCCUUUCAUGGGCACCGUCCCUGUUUUGCUCAUAGAUGGAACCGUUUGCAUUACUAGUUUCUCACAAUUGAUGUUAGAAAGCAUGCCUUGGAUUAAUUGGUUGACAUUAAAGGACAAGUUAAGAGAGAGGUGAAUAUAUGUGGAAGUAAGGUGGUGAGGUUGCAUAUUGGGAGGAGAUGAAGAAGGAUAAUGCGUUAGGCAAUGGAGUGGCCGAGAUUUUAGGACAAAUUGUUAAGUUCCGACGCAGCUUUGGGCAAGAAAAUCCAGUGAGCGAUGAAAAAUUGAAUUAUUCAAUGAGCAAAUAGUUAAGCUAGCAUGUCUUUUUGCAGAUUAAAAAAAAAUGCAAAGGCAAUCUUAUGAGGCAAUUGGUUUCAGGGCAUGUCCAUUUUCUUCAUGGGAUCAAAGAUAGCUUUAUUAGUUGGAUGUUUCUUUUCUUGGUGUGAACCUAUAAUUAAAAAGUCAAUUAUUACAUUAUAAGUAUUAA